rnacentral:tRNA from 1 species
GGAUUGUGGCUCAGUGGUAGAGUGCUUGCCUAGCAUACACGUGGCCCUGGGUUCGAUCCUCAGCACCA